UGCUAUUUUAUAAAACACUGAUCGCUUCUCGGCCUUUUGGCUAAGAUCAAGUGUAUAAAGCACUGAGACCAAAAAGCAACUGGGAGGAAAUGGCUUAUUUGUCUUA
rnacentral:miRNA from 1 species